UACGAAGGGGACUAGCGUUGUUCGGAAUUACUGGGCGUAAAGCGUACGUAGGCGGAUUUGUAAGUCAGGGGUGAAAUCCCGGGGCUCAACCUCGGAACUGCCUUUGAUACUGCAAAUCUCGAGUCCGAUAGAGGUGGGUGGAAUUCCUAGUGUAGAGGUGAAAUUCGUAGAUAUUAGGAAGAACACCGGUGGCGAAGGCGGCCCACUGGAUCGGUACUGACGCUGAGGUGCGAAAGCGUGGGGAGCAAACAGG
rnacentral:rRNA from 1 species